rnacentral:rRNA from 1 species
CACCGAUGCAAGUCGCACGAGAAAGGGCUUCGGCCCCGGUAAAGUGGCGCACGGGUGAGUAACACGUGGGUAAUCUGCCUUCGAGCGGGGGAUAACAUUCCGAAAGGAGUGCUAAUACCGCAUAAGACCACGCCCUCGAAAGAGGAAGCGGUCAAAGCUGGCCUCUAUAUAUAAGCUAGCACUUGAGGAUGAGCCCGCGGUGCAUCAGCUAGUUGGUGAGGUAAUGGCUCACCAAGGCUAAGACGCAUAGCUGGUCUGAGAGGAUGAUCAGCCACACUGGAACUGAGACACGGUCCAGACUCCUACGGGAGGCAGCAGUGGGGAAUCUUGCGCAAUGGGGGAAACCCUGACGCAGCGACGCCGCGUGAGUGAUGAAGGCCUUCGGGUUGUAAAGCUCUGUGGGGAGAGACGAAUAAGUGCAGCCUAAUACGUUGCAUGAUGACGGUAUCUCCUUAGCAAGCACCGGCUAACUCUGUGCCAGCCGCCGCGGUAAUAC